rnacentral:rRNA from 1 species
UACGGAGGGGGCUAGCGUUGUUCGGAAUCACUGGGCGUAAAGCGCACGUAGGCGGCUUUGUAAGUUAGAGGUGAAAGCCCGGGGCUCAACUCCGGAAUUGCCUUUAAGACUGCAUCGCUCGAAUUGUGGAGAGGUAAGUGGAAUUCCGAGUGUAGAGGUGAAAUUCGUAGAUAUUCGGAAGAACACCAGUGGCGAAGGCGACUUACUGGACACAUAUUGACGCUGAGGUGCGAAAGCGCGGGGAGCAAACAGG